GACGGAGGGUGCAAGCGUUUGUUCGGAUUGACUGGGCGUAAAGGGCGUGUAGGCGGUUGCCCAAGUCCGAUGUGAAAGCCCGAGGCUUAGCCUCGGAAGUGCAUCGGAAACUAGGCAGCUGGAGCGCGAUAGAGGAGGGUAGAAUUCCUGGUGUAGCGGUGAAAUGCGUAGAUAUCAGGAGGAAUACCGGCGGCGAAGGCGGCCCUCUGGAUCGUUGCUGACGCUGAGACGCGAAAGCGUGGGGAGCAAACAGG
rnacentral:rRNA from 1 species